rnacentral:misc_RNA from 1 species
CUCUCUCAAGAUCCUCUAGGGGACUUGGUAUUGAGUGAUACUCUGUGUUAACUUGAAAUACUCUAGGCAGAGCUCCCCCCUGGAAAUCCUCUGGGCCGAAAUAAUGUAUUAGGUUCUACCAACUCGUUAUUUUCCAGACAGACUUCCAGGCAGAGCUCGUGCCCCUAACAUAGCAGUCUAAGC